AGCAGCCGCCGCGGUAAAACGUAGGUGGCAAGCGUUAUCCGGAAUUAUUGGGCGUAAAGCGCGCGUAGGCGGUUUUUUAAGUCUGAUGUGAAAGCCCACGGCUCAACCGUGGAGGGUCAUUGGAAACUGGAAAACUUGAGUGCAGAAGAGGAAAGUGGAAUUCCAUGUGUAGCGGUGAAAUGCGCAGAGAUAUGGAGGAACACCAGUGGCGAAGGCGACUUUCUGGUCUGUAACUGACGCUGAUGUGCGAAAGCGUGGGGAUCAAACAGGAUUAGAUACCCCGGUAGUCCCUGUCUCUUAUAC
rnacentral:rRNA from 1 species